GCAGUUUACUUCUAUAGAAGGGGGCGCCCUCACAGAUGGAGCAAUGCCGUGAAGAGGAUGCCCUGCAGACUCACUGCCCACCGGCUCCCUCCCCCGCAUCCCUGCAACCCCAGAGGCGAAGAUGGCCUCAGGAGUGCAAGUAGCUGAUGAAGUAUGUCGCAUUUUUUAUGACAUGAAAGUUCGUAAAUGCUCCACACCAGAAGAAAUCAAGAAAAGAAAGAAGGCUGUCAUUUU
rnacentral:lncRNA from 1 species